GUCUAUUUGGAGAUAUAAAAAGUCUGGCCUGCCCACUGAUAGAAUUUAAAGGGCCGCGGUAAUCUGACCGUGCAAAGGUAGCAUAAUCGUUAGUUUUUUAAUUGGAAUCUUGUAUGAAUGGUUGAACAAAAGAAAAUCUGUCUCUGUAUUUUUUCUUGAAUUUAACUUUUAAGUGAAAAGGCUUAAAUGUUUUAAAAAGACGAUAAGACCCUAUAAAGCUUUAUAAGUAUUUUUAUUUAAUUAAAUUUUUUUAUAAAAGUUAAAUGAUAAAGAUUUAUUUUGUUGGGGCGACAAUGAUAUAAUGUUUAUUAACUGUUUAAUUCUAAGACAAAUAUUAUUGAUUAAUUAAUUAUUAAUGAUCCUUUAAUUAAGAUUAAAAAUUUAAGUUACUUUAGGGAUAACAGCGUUAUUUUUCUUGAGAGUUCAUAUCGAAAGAAAAGUUUGCGACCUCGAUGUUGAAUUAAAAUUUCUCUGUAAUUGCAGAAGUUACAGAAGAAGGUCUGUUCGACCUUUAAAUUUUUACAUGAUUUGAGUUCAAACCGGCGUGAG
rnacentral:rRNA from 1 species